GACGAACGCUGGCGGCGUGCUUAACACAUGCAAGUCGAACGCUGAAGCUCAGCUUUUGUUGGGUGGAUGAGUGGCGAACGGGUGAGUAACACGUGAGUAACCUGCCCCCUUCUUUGGGGUAACGCCCGGAAACGGGUGCUAAUACUGGAUAUUCACUGGUCUUCGCAUGGGGGUUGGUGGAAAGGGUUUUUCUGGUGGGGGAUGGGCUCGCGGCCUAUCAGCUUGUUGGUGGGGUGAUGGCCUACCAAGGCUUUGACGGGUAGCCGGCCUGAGAGGGUGACCGGUCACAUUGGGACUGAGAUACGGCCCAGACUCCUACGGGGGGCAGCAGUGGGGAAUAUGGCACAAUGGGCGCAAGCCUGAUGCAGCGACGCCGCGUGAGGGAUGGAGGCCUUCGGGUUGUGAACCUCUUUCGCUCAUGGUCAAGCCGCAACAAUGGUUGUGGUGAGGGUAGUGGGUAAAGAAGCGCCGGCUAACUACGUG
rnacentral:rRNA from 1 species